AUUGAACGCUGGCGGCAUGCCUUACACAUGCAAGUCGAACGGUAACAGGUUAAGCUGACGAGUGGCGAACGGGUGAGUAAUGUAUCGGAACGUGCCCAGUCGUGGGGGAUAACUGCUCGAAAGAGCAGCUAAUACCGCAUACGACCUGAGGGUGAAAGCGGGGGAUCGCAAGACCUCGCGCGAUUGGAGCGGCCGAUAACGGAUUAGGUAGUUGGUGAGGUAAAGGCUCACCAAGCCGACGAUCUGUAGCUGGUCUGAGAGGACGACCAGCCACACUGGGACUGAGACACGGCCCAGACUCCUACGGGAGGCAGCAGUGGGGAAUUUUGGACAAUGGGCGCAAGCCUGAUCCAGCCAUGCCGCGUGCGGGAAGAAGGCCUUCGGGUUGUAAACCGCUUUUGUCAGGGAAGAAAAGGUUCUGGCUAAUACCUGGGACUCAUGACGGUACCUGAAGAAUAAGCACCGGCUAACUACGUGCCAGCCGCCGCAGUAAAAC
rnacentral:rRNA from 1 species